rnacentral:rRNA from 1 species
GGUGACCUUAACUCUUUAUAAAGCUAAGUAGAGUCAGCCCUGGUUAGUAAUUGGAUGGGAGACCUCCUUAUAAAUCUAUGGUGAAGCCACAU